rnacentral:rRNA from 1 species
CGUGAGUAACCUGCCCCUGACUCUGGGAUAAGCCCGGGAAACUGGGUCUAAUACCGGAUAUGACCAUUCUCCGCAUGGAGUGGUGGUGGAAAGUUUUUCGGUUGGGGAUGGGCUCGCGGCCUAUCAGCUUGUUGGUGGGGUGAUGGCCUACCAAGGCGACGACGGGUAGCCGGCCUGAGAGGGCGACCGGCCACACUGGGACUGAGACACGGCCCAGACUCCUACGGGAGGCAGCAGUGGGGAAUAUUGCACAAUGGGGGAAACCCUGAUGCAGCGACGCCGCGUGGGGGAUGACGGCCUUCGGGUUGUAAACCUCUUUCAGUAGGGAAGAAGCCUUCGGGUGACGGUACCUGCAGAAGAAGUACCCGCUAACUACGUGCCAGCAGCCGCGGUAAUACGUAGGGUACAAGCGUUGUCCGGAAUUAUUGGGCGUAAAGAGCUCGUAGGUGGUCUGUCACGUCUGCUGUGGAAACGCAAGGCUCAACCUUGCGCGUGCAGUGGGUACGGGCGGACUAGAGUGCAGUAGGGGAGUCUGGAAUUCCUGGUGUAGCGGUGAAAUGCGCAGAUAUCAGGAGGAACACCGGUGGCGAAGGCGGGACUCUGGGCUGUAACUGACGCUGAGGAGCGAAAGCAUGGGGAGCGAACARGAUUAGAAUACCCUGGUAGUCCAUGCCGUAAACGUUGGGCACUAGGUGUGGGGGUCCAUUCCACGGAUUCCGCGCCGUAGCUAACGCAUUUAAGUGCCCCGCC